rnacentral:lncRNA from 1 species
GGAUAACUAACUUAUGAAAUAGAUUUAGUAUCUUGCUAGCCUGGUUGUGUUUUGUUUUGCAUGCAACAUGAUAUGGCUAAUGACAACGAUCAAAUCAUAGAUCUAGAUAUCGACAAAAUCAUGGCUGAGGAUGCAACAAGAACUUUGCUUCCUAGAUAGAUGGAUUCUAGCUAACAAACUACUAUAAUAAAGAAGACUAGAUCCUUAAUGGACAUGCUAAUGUGAAUACACAAAAUAGUAGACACAAUCCCUAUAUUAAAGCAGAGGAAGGAAUGACUGGCAUAGGAAGUCUCUGAAGGCCCUCAAGGGAUUUUCGGACUCUUAAAAGUUGUUGGUUGCUAGGAUAGGCUCAUGAUAUGAAAAUAAAAUAUCUCUAGGAAAAUUUGGCCCACGUAACUCUAAAAGCCUUGAGGGGAAUUGUGAAAGGCAUUCUCGAUGAUUUAUAAUCUGAUGAUAGAUUGGACGACUGUAUAGUUAUAGAGAUUGAAGUUGAGAUCGAAUCCUCUUGCAUCCACAAAUACAAUGAUGAGUAAGCUAUUGAGGAUGGAGAUAAAGUCUAUGUAUGUAGAAUUAGAGUCUCGCAUAAAUCGAAUCCUACGGCCACCAUAUUUUAUAAAAGGGCUAGACUCAAAGAAAUAUGCCAAAGUACCCUAUAUGGAUAGCACAAUUAUUAAACCAAUCCCAAUGAGUUUUAAAAUGAAUGAUAUCCC